rnacentral:rRNA from 1 species
GUCAUCCUGAGCGGACCACCUGUUGCGAAGGCGCCACACUAGAACGGAUCCGACGGUCAGGGACGAAGCCUAGGGGCACGAACCGGAUUAGAUACCCGGGUAGUCCUAGGUGUAAACGCUGUGGACUUGGUGUUGGGGAUUCUCCGAGGAUCCUCAGUGCCGAAGCGAAGGUGAUAAGUCCACUGCCUGGGGAGUACGGUCGCAAGGCUGAAACUUAAAGGAAUUGGCGGGGGAGCACCGCAACCUGAGGAUUGUGCGGUUUAAUUGGAUUCAACGCCGGAAAACUCACCAGUGCCGACGGACAAAUGAAAGCCAGUGUGAUGAGCUUGCUGGAUUGUUCGAGAGGUAGUGCAUGGCCGUCGUCAGUUCGUACCGUAAGGCGUUCUGUUAAGUCAGAUAACGAACGAGACCCUCAUCCCUAUUUGCUAAGGUCAGUCCGCUGAUCACAGGACUAUAGGGAGACCGCUGGCGCGAAGUCAGAGGAAGGCGAGGGCAACGGUAGGUCAGUAUGCUCCGAAUGCUCUGGGCUACACGCGCAAUACAAAGGACGGGACAAUGGGCCGCUGUACCGAAAGGACUCGGCUAUCCC